GGAGAGGUGGCCGAGCCCGGUUUAUGGCGCCGCUCUCGAAAAGCGGUAUGCGAAAGCAUCAAGGGUUCAAAUCCCUUCCUCUCCGCCA
rnacentral:tRNA from 1 species